rnacentral:rRNA from 1 species
UACAGAGGGUGCAAGCGUUGUUCGGAAUUACUGGGCGUAAAGCGCGUGUAGGCUGCAAUGGUAAGUCGGAUGUGAAAGCCCUUGGCUCAACCAAGGAAGUGCAUCCGAUACUGCGUCGCUUGAGUGUCGGAGGGGUCGGCGGAAUUCCCGGUGUAGAGGUGAAAAUGCGUAGAUAUCAGGAGGAACACCGGUGGUGUAGACGGCUUUCUGGACCGUAACUGACGCUGAGACACGAAAGCGUGGGUAGCAAACAGG